GGUUAUCUCCCUGGGUGGGUUACUAGGGCCCCUCCGAGGAGAAGGGGCGCUGUUACCCGAGGCCCUGCUUCCCUAGGCCUCGCAGGGUACGUGCUCUCUUCAUCCAGGGAUUAUGCAUUUUUCCAUCUUUCUGGAACUCUGCCCAGCUCCCGCUCCUUCUGAGAGGUUCUGGGUUUUGAGAACUUGUUAGCUUUGUAGCCUCUGAAGAGCCGACCAAUAGAAAAAACGUGAGGGUGCUACAUCCGUUGCUUUGUAAAGUACGCGGAUAGCUUGCGAUCUAGCCCCGCCUCCCCCAGGCCCUGCAGCCCAGCCAGUCCGUGAGGUGGGGGAAGCCUUCCUGAAACAGUGAGCUCUCCUACCCCGAAGAAAUCUAUUCCAGCAGAUUUUCUCUUUGCCACGGGCAUCACAGACACGGGGGUGCAGCUGGCACUCCCCUCGCUGCUCGUCAUAUGAGGACCCACGAGAGGAAGGCUCCCUCUUGGGACAGGCCAGGCACCGCGUGGGGCCAGGAGAGCAGGCCCAGCCAGGCCUUAGCGCGGGCAGUUAACCAGGAACGACCCCAGAGGUAGGAUGAAUCUUUUCUCUUACAAGAAGAAAAAACUAGUAUGAAACCCCAGUCGUGUGCCAGCGCUCAGAGUGUAAGUAUAAAAAGGGGAUCAUCAGGCGCUGAGGCUGUCCAGGUCGAAAAUGGGGGGCGGUGGCUGUGUCCCGGCUUCCGGGGCUGCCAGGUCGGUCCGGGGCACAGCUGGGACUGGUCCACGUCCAGCGGCGCCCACGGCGAGGAGGGCUCAGCUCGCACGUGAAAGGCCCUCACCUACUUCGUAGCUCUUCCUGGCGUGGAAGUGAGCAUGCGGAACGUCUUCCUGAAUUCGCAUCACGCAGAGCGCGAGAGACCCUAGUUGGUCGCCUCCCCCCAUCUCCGCAUCAGGGCCAAGCCCUUUCCCUGGGGAGAUGGUAAUCCCACUCUAUUCCAUGACUCCCACGUGAAUCCACUUCCCACCGGCUACGGAGAUGAAUAAAGAGAACCUGGACCACGGCCCCGGGGGGCGGGGACCACAGCGCUGGUUUGGACCAUGACUCCGCACACGGACCAGAAAAGUAUGUGGGACCUGAAGCUCACCUUCCCUUACGUGUAUCAAAUGACGACCAGUAUGCUGACCUUCCAUCCCUUUGCUUGUGGCAGGAGAUGGCUUACAUAAAUAACUCAGAUUGGUCCA